rnacentral:tRNA from 4 species
GCCGGGGUGCCCGAGCGGACCAAGGGGGUAGGCUCGAGACCUACUGCCUCUCCGAGGCACGCGGGUUCAAAUCCCGCCCCCGGCG